CGCGAGUUUGUCGUAUAAAAGGUACAACAUUCUUAUGUAAGACGCGUCUUGGAUAAGACGCGUCUUACAUAAGAACAGGACUUUUAGCUGUUCUUAUUUAAGUCGCGUCUUAAAUAAGAAAUUUUGGACAAAAAUUCUAACUACACAUGCCCGAAACUUGAAACAACGUAAAAUUAUUAGCUUUGCAUAUUAAAACAAAAACAAACGAAACAACAGUAUAACUAUAGCAAGUAAAUAAGAAUAAAGCCAUA